GUGCCAGCCGCCGCGGUGAUACCGGCAGCACGAGUGAUGGCCGAUAUUAUUGGGCCUAAAGCGUCCGUAGCUGGCCGGACAAGUCCGUUGGGAAAUCCACCCGCUUAACGGGUGGGCGUCCAGCGGAAACUGUCCGGCUUGGGGCCGGAGGACUCGAGGGGUACGUCCGGGGUAGGAGUGAAAUCCCGUAAUCCCGAACGGACCACCGAUGGCGAAAGCAUCUCGAGAAAACGGAUCCGACAGUGAGGGACGAAAGCUAGGGUCUCGAACCGGAUUAGAUACCCUGGUAGUCC
rnacentral:rRNA from 1 species